rnacentral:tRNA from 1 species
UGGUCAAUGGCGUAACUGGUAUGCUAAUGGGCAAUUGGCUUUGGAAAUGUCAUGGAAAAAAGGGUUACCCAAUGGUAAAACCAGAAGCUGGUAUAGUAAUGGACAUAAGCGUGGAGAAAUCUUUUUUGUUGAUGGCAAGGCUGAAGGACGCUGGCAGCGUUGGUAUGUAAACGGUCAAAUCAAGCAGGAUAUGCGGGUACAUAAAGGUGUGGUUCAAACCAUGACUAAAUGG